GCAUGCAGGAUGCCACAUUCCUACUGCGACAUUCCCCCACAUUACGACACAAGUGACAUAAGCGGGAUCAUUUUGCAUCCAUCAUCGCUCGUUGCAUGC
rnacentral:pre_miRNA from 1 species